rnacentral:rRNA from 1 species
UACAGAGGUCUCAAGCGUUGUUCGGAUUCAUUGGGCGUAAAGGGUGCGUAGGUGGCGCUGUAAGUCGGGGGUGAAAUUUCGGAGCUUAACUCCGAAACUGCAUUCGAUACUGCGGUGCUUGAGGACUGGAGAGGAGACUGGAAUUCAUGGUGUAGCAGUGAAAUGCGUAGAGAUCAUGAGGAAGACCAGUGGCGAAGGCGGGUCUCUGGGCCGAUACUGACGCUGAGGAGCGAAAGCGUGGGGAGCGAACAGG